UCCUGGCUCAGGAUGAACGCUGGCGGCGUGCCUAACACAUGCAAGUCGAACGAAGCACUCCGGUUUGAGAUUCGUCAAGAACUGGAUUUGACUUAGUGGCGGACGGGUGAGUAAUGUAUGAGCAACCUGCCUUUCAGAGGGGGACAACAGUUGGAAACGACUGCUAAUACCGCAUAAAGUAUUUUUAAGGGCAUCCUUGAAAUACCAAAGGAGCAAUCCGCUGAAAGAUGGGCUCAUAUCUGAUUAGUUAGUUGGCAGGGUAACGGCCUACCAAGACUGCGAUCAGUAGCCGGACUGAGAGGUUGAACGGCCACAUUGGGACUGAGAUACGGCCCAGACUCCUACGGGAGGCAGCAGUGGGGAAUAUUGGGCAAUGGGCGAAAGCCCUGACCCAGCAACGCCGCGUGAAGGAAGAAGGUCUUCGGAUUGUAAACUUCUUUUAUGAGGGACGAAGGACGUGACGGUACCUCAUGAAUAAGCCACGGCUAACUACGUGCCAGCCGCGGC
rnacentral:rRNA from 1 species